rnacentral:rRNA from 1 species
AGUGAACGCUGGCGGUAGGCCUAACACAUGCAAGUCGAACGGCAGCACAGUAAGAGCUUGCUCUUACGGGUGGCGAGUGGCGGACGGGUGAGGAAUACAUCGGAAUCUACUUUUUCGUGGGGGAUAACGUAGGGAAACUUACGCUAAUACCGCAUACGACCUACGGGUGAAAGCAGGGGAUCUUCGGACCUUGCGCGAUUGAAUGAGCCGAUGUCGGAUUAGCUAGUUGGCGGGGUAAAGGCCCACCAAGACGACGAUCCGUAGCUGGUCUGAGAGGAUGAUCAGCCACACUGGAACUGAGACACGGUCCAGACUCCUACGGGAGGCAGCAGUGGGGAAUAUUGGACAAAGGGCGCAAGCCUGAUCCAGCCAUACCGCGUGGGUGAAGAAGGCCUUCGGGUUGUAAAGCCCUUUUGUUGGGAAAGAAAAGCAGCAGGUUAAUACCCCGCUGUUCUGACGGUACCCAAAGAAUAAGCACCGGCUAACUUCGUG